rnacentral:rRNA from 1 species
UACAGAGGUCUCAAGCGUUGUUCGGAAUUAUUGGGCGUAAAGCGCACGUAGGCGGCCUUGUAAGUCUCACUGUGAAAGUCCGGGGCUCAACCCCGGGAUGCCAGGGGAUACUGCGAGGCUUGAGACAAGUAGAGGUUGGUAGAAUUCCGGGUGUAGCGGUGGAAUGCGUAGAGAUCCGGAGGAAUACCAGAGGCGAAGGCGGCCAACUGGGCUUGUUCUGACGCUGAGGUGCGAAAGCGUGGGGAGCGAACAGG